AACGAACGCUGGCGGCAUGCCUAACACAUGCAAGUCGAACGAGACCUUCGGGUCUAGUGGCGCACGGGUGCGUAACGCGUGGGAACCUGCCUUUAGGUUCGGAUAACUCAGAGGAAAUUUGAGCCUAAUACCGGAUAAUGUCCUUCGGACCAAAGAUUUAUCGCCUUUAGAUGGGCCCGCGUUGGAUUAGCUAGUUGGUGGGGUAAAGGCCUACCAAGGCGACGAUCCAUAGCUGGUCUGAGAGGAUGAUCAGCCACACUGGGACUGA
rnacentral:rRNA from 1 species